rnacentral:rRNA from 1 species
UACGUAGGUGACAAGCGUUGUCCGGAUUUACUGGGCGUAAAGAGCGCGCAGGCGGUCGAUCAAGUCGAGUGUGAAAGCCCCCGGCUCAACUGGGGAGGGUCAUUCGAUACUGAUCGACUCGAAGGCAGGAGAGGGUAGUGGAAUUCCCGGUGUAGUGGUGAAAUGCGUAGAUAUCAGGAGGAACACCGAUGGCGAAGGCAGGUCUCUGGGCUGACACUGACGCUCAUGCACGAAAGCGUGGGGAGCAAACGGG